GGUCCUUUGGCGCAAUGGUAGCGCGUCAGUUUCCGGGAUAGGGAACUACUGAAGGUUCACGGUUCGAAUCCGUGGAGGAUCG